GCAGUACUCCCUCCGUCCGGAAAUACUUGUCAUCAAAAUGGACAAAAGGGAUGUAUAUAGAACUAAAAUACAUCUAGAUACAUCCCCUUUUAUUCAUUUUGAUGACAAGUAUUUUCGGACGGAGGGAGUACUAG
rnacentral:pre_miRNA from 1 species